rnacentral:rRNA from 1 species
UACGUAGGGGGCAAGCGUUGUCCGGAAUCAUUGGGCGUAAAGCGCGUGUAGGCGGCUCGGUAAGUCCGCUGUAAAAGUCCAGGGCUCAACCCUGGAAGGCCGGUGGAUACUGUCGGGCUCGAGUCCGGAAGAGGCGAGUGGAAUUCCUGGUGUAGCGGUGAAAUGCGCAGAUAUCAGGAGGAACACCAAUGGCGAAGGCAGCUCGCUGGGACGGUACUGACGCUGAGACGCGAAAGCGUGGGGAGCAAACAGG